CCCCGCGUGAGGUACGUUGUAACGGUUUCUCUCAGUCUACCCCAGUGUGCAUCCCUGUGUCAUGAUGCAAACCUCAGCAUGGGGACUCCCUGCCCAACGUCCUUAUGAAAGGGGCCAUGGUACGGACCUCCGGUGGCCGAGACAACGUGGGGAUGAGGCGUUGGUAGGAUAAAGUGGCGACGCAACCCCAGAGAGACAAACCCGCAAGCCAGAACCGCAGUUGCCAAGUCCAAACCACCUAGCCAAGGAAAGCGCGGCUGGCGGCCCCCACGUGACGUAAAGGCGGGCCCUUCAAGCACAAUCAGGCAGCCUAUCAGAAGGGAGGUGGGGGCGGUGCUGAAGACCGGAUCAAACCAGCCUGCGCCGCCAAGGGGACAUUAAUGCGAGACUCAGAAGAAAAACACACACUUGGCGCCUUUUUCGGCUAGGGGCUUUCUGUACCUAAACCUCCUAUCCUGAGAUCUGUAGACCAGUUCCAAGUGAAGUUUACACUGCAUUUCCGUGCCGUUUGUACACAGACUACAGAAACUAGCUAACUGGCACAGAACUUGGAGAGCCCCGUCCUCAAGUGGGAAACCAAAAGAGUGUGAGGUACAGGAGACCCAUUCGAAUAUCCAGGCGGAAGAAAAGAAUUGCGUUGGCCACCUUACUGAACAUGAAGAUGUUGCCUACGUGUUGCUCCACAGUGACUGGAACACAGAGAUACCACAGUCAGGCUGGGCUGAAGGCUCCCACUCUUUUGUCCCUCUUCCUGGGGUACUUUGAAAUGGGAACAGGAGGGAGAGGAUACAGAAGUUGAAGGUCAAACUAGCCCCUGACAUGAAAUGUAGAACUAGUUCAUUAAAUAACACUCCUCCAAUAACAUGAAAAAGGAGCUUCUGUAGGGCAUGCGUCCUAAACCCCAAUCAGUGCAAAGCAGGGAAGCUUACUGGAUCUGCGGUUCUUCAUCAUCACAAUGGCACUGAGGAACAUCAGGAUCUCCACUUCUCUCUGGAAGAGAGUCAGUGACAGCAACGUGGUGAAUGAGGCUGAUGGGAUGAGGGCAAAAUAUGAAAUGCAAAUUGUGUUGGUGAUAAAGAAGUAACUGGAUAUGGCUAAGGUGUAGUGGGACCAACAAGUCAAAAGAGCUAAGUUAGAGUCUACCCUUGGCACCUGAAUGGUAUCUUUCAGCAAAUCCCUGACCUUUGGGUUUUCUCUUCUUUCUAUUUCCUCUCUCCCUCCUUCUAUCCUUGAGACUUGCUCUCACUAGCCUGCCCAGGCAAUUCUGCCUCAGCCUCUAAAGUAUCAGGAUUAUCGUGGUACAUCACCAUGUCCCACUGGUUUUCUUUAACUACAUUUAUUGGUUUCAUGUGUGUACUCCCGUGCAUGGGCUGUAGCACACAUGUGGAAGGCAGAGGAUAACUUUCCUUCUCUCUCACUGUGUAGUCCAGGCAAGUUUCAAACUCACUGAAGCUCCUCCCACCUCAGCCUCUCUAGUGCUGGGCGCUUUUUUGUCAUUUGGUAGCUGCAUAGCUUAGGCUACAAU